rnacentral:rRNA from 1 species
GAUGAACGCUGGCGGCGUGCCUAAUACAUGCAAGUCGAGCGAACCACUUCGGUGGUGAGCGGCGAACGGGUGAGUAACACGUAGGUGAUCUGCCCAUCAGACGGGGACAACGAUUGGAAACGAUCGCUAAUACCGGAUAGGACGAAAGUUUAAAGGUGCUUCUGGCACCGCUGAUGGAUGAGCCUGCGGCGCAUUAGCUAGUUGGUAGGGUAAAGGCCUACCAAGGCGACGAUGCGUAGCCGACCUGAGAGGGUGAGGGGCCACACUGGGACUGAGACACGGCCCAGACUCCUACGGGAGGCAGCAGUAGGGAAUCUUCGGCAAUGGGCGAAAGCCUGACCGAGCAACGCCGCGUGAAUGAUGAAGGCCUUCGGGUUGUAAAAUUCUGUUAUAAGGGAAGAACGACUUUAGUAGGAAAUGGCUAGAGUGUGACGGAACCUUAUGAGAAAGCCACAGCUAACUACGUGCCAGCCGCCGCGGUAA